rnacentral:rRNA from 1 species
UCGAGAAUCAUUCACAAUGGGGGAAACCCUGAUGGUGCGACGCCGCGUGGGGGAAUGAAGGUCUUCGGAUUGUAAACCCCUGUCAUGUGGGAGCAAAUUAAAAAGAUAGUACCACAAGAGGAAGAGACGGCUAACUCUGUGCCAGCAGCCGCGGUAAUACAGAGGUCUCAAGCGUUGUUCGGAAUCACUGGGCGUAAAGCGUGCGUAGGCGGUUUCGUAAGUCGUGUGUGAAAGGCGGGGGCUCAACCCCCGGACUGCACAUGAUACUGCGAGACUAGAGUAAUGGAGGGGGAACCGGAAUUCUCGGUGUAGCAGUGACAUGCGUAGAUAUCGAGAGGAACACUCGUGGCGAAGGCGGGUUCAUGGACAUUAACUGACGCUGAGGCACGAAGGCCAGGGGAGCGAAAGGG